rnacentral:tRNA from 1 species
GGGCCCGUAGCUCAACGGCAGAGCAUCUCCCUUUUAAGGAGUUGGUUGACAGUUCGAAUCUGUCCGGGCUCA